CUCUCCCUCUCUUCAAUUGUAUUAGGGUUUUGUAUCUUUCAUGGUCUGAUUAAAUCACGUUUAAUGGUGUGAUAUUUUAGCAUUAUUUUGUUGCUUAUUUAACCUGUUCAUAUGCUUGCUGCAUUUCAUUUGAUAUGCUAUCCGUUGUCGUUGGUAGAAAUAUGGUGUCAGGUGUGCGUCUGUAAUAUUUACAACGUUGCGCUCUGUGAAUACGUUACCUUGGAUGAUUUAACCUUCUUUGGAUGCUCUCUGUGGAAAACAGUUUGAUAUAAACAUACAUGAAUAUGAUUUGAUUCUAUGGCACUCGAUCAUACCAAUGGGGAUGUAAAAUGGUGGGCAGAGAAGGCCUAUUUCCUGUUGCUCAUCUGCUUUAACUAAAUGCAUAUGAGAAAGCCGUUUCUGCCAUCGGGAAGAUGAAAUCACCAAUACUAGUUGCAUAGCAUCAAUGUGGCAUUUUAAGUUUGUGAAUUAGGAUCCACCAAUUGAAACUCCCUGUAUAUAAAUUCAACUAUGCCAGAGUCCGGCACAAGUUUCUCUGUCUUGGCUAUUUGAUUUUUAGGAAAGAGCUUCUCAUCUAAUGAUCUUCAUUUGAGAGUAGGGGCAUGUUACCUUUGUAUUUUAGCUAUCACUUCAAUAUUUAUGUCUAACAAUCUCAGGUACGACUUUAUUGAAAACUUGUUUUUUGGCUUCCAUAAUUUUCAAUCAAUAUAUGAUGAUUGAAAUAAUCUAAUACUUUUAUUAUUUUGUAUCAUGCCAUUCAUGCGCAUUUAUUUUCUUCAUAACUCUUUAUUAUGGUGUUGAUUUGUAGCUUAUUUGGAUGCUGCAUGUCAUCUUUCUCACUAAUGUAGGCAGCCAAUGCAAUGGGAAAUGCACUUUUUUAUGUCAUACUUAUUUCAAUAGCUCUACAUUUGCUUGUUUAAGUUGUAUCGUUUUCCAUUUACAUGCUUGAAUUGUUGGUAGCUCAUAUGAACAUAUUUCUUUUAGGCAGUCUCACGUUAGGAAUAUUAGUAACCCACACAGUUCUUAUUCUCAAUAAAAUUUUGUUUACCAAUAAAAAAAAUAAAAAAAUAACCCACAGAGUGGGUAGGUUAUAAAGUUAGUCAUGGGUAUUAAGUCCUACAUCAGCUACUUAUUGUGUGAAAAUGGGCUUCAUAAGUGAUUUUAGGGAAGUUUCAAAUUAAAUAGUCUUGGGGUAAGAGAAAAUUGAAAGAACCCUCUCACCCUAGAAAACUCUUAGUAAACCAUAAUUUUUCCCAAAUGUUUUUUAAGAAAAUACAUGCAUUCAAGUUUUUGCUGAAACUCAAAAUGAGCCUUAAAUCUUUCUUACAACUUUGAACCCCAAAAAUUUUAAAAUCCAUCAUAUACCACAACCCCCCCC